CCUACGGGAGGCAGCAGUGGGGAAUAUUGCGCAAUGGGCGAAAGCCUGACGCAGCGACGCCGCGUGAGGGAUGAAGGUCUUCGGAUCUUAAACCUCUUUCAGCAGGGAAGAACGGUCACUGUGCUAAUCAGCAGUGAAUUGACGGUACCUGCAAAGGAAGCACCGGCUAACUCCGUCCCAGCAGCCGCGGUAAUACGGAGGGUGCGAGCGUUAAUCGGUAUUACUGGGCGUAAAGCGCUCGUAGGCGGUAUGUCAAGUCAAGUGUGAAAUCCCCGCGCUCAACGUGGGAACUGCCUUUGAAACUGGCAAGCUGGAGUGUGUGAGAGGAUAGUGGAAUUCCAGGUGUAGGGGUGAAAUGCGUAGAUAUCUGGAGGAACAUCAGUGGCGAAGGCGACUAUCUGGCACAUAACUGACGCUGAGGAGCGAAAGCGUGGGUAGCAAACAGGAUUAGAUACCCGGGUAGUC
rnacentral:rRNA from 1 species